rnacentral:rRNA from 1 species
UGUGUUAGUGGAAGCGUCUGGAAAGGCGUGCGAUACAGGGUGACAGCCCCGUACACAAAAAUGCACAUAUUGUGAGCUUGAUGAGUAGGGCGGGACACGUGGUAUCCUGUCUGAAUAUGGGGGGACCAUCCUCCAAGGCUAAAUACUCCUGACUGACCGAUAGUGAACCAGUACCGUGAGGGAAAGGCGAAAAGAACCCCGGCGAGGGGAGUGAAAAAGAACCUGAAACCGUGUACGUACAAGCAGUGGGAGCACGCUUAGGCGUGUGACUGCGUACCUUUUGUAUAAUGGGUCAGCGACUUAUAUUCUGUAGCAAGGUUAACCGAAUAGGGGAGCCGAAGGGAAACCGAGUCUUAACUGGGCGUUAAGUUGCAGGGUAUAGACCCGAAACCCGGUGAUCUAGCCAUGGGCAGGUUGAAGGUUGGGUAACACUAACUGGAGGACCGAACCGACUAAUGUUGAAAAAUUAGCGGAUGACUUGUGGCUGGGGGUGAAAGGCCAAUCAAACCGGGAGAUAGCUGGUUCUCCCCGAAAGCUAUUUAGGUAGCGCCUCGUGAAUUCAUCUCCGGGGGUAGAGCACUGUUUCGGCAAGGGGGUCAUCCCGACUUACCAACCCGAUGCAAACUGCGAAUACCGGAGAAUGUUAUCACGGGAGACACACGGCGGGUGCUAACGUCCGUCGUGAAGAGGGAAACAACCCAGACCGCCAGCUAAGGUCCCAAAGUCAUGGUUAAGUGGGAAACGAUGUGGGAAGGCCCAGACAGCCAGGAUGUUGGCUUAGAAGCAGCCAUCAUUUAAAGAAAGCGUAAUAGCUCACUGGUCGAGUCGGCCUGCGCGGAAGAUGUAACGGGGCUAAACCAU